AUUGCAGCCAAGGUAGUUGGUAUUAUAACAUCUUUGGUCGGAGCGAAUAUUUCCGUUGUAAUGGUUCGUUCCGACCAAAGAUGUUAUAAUACCAACUACCUUGGCUGCAAU